GCGGACGUGGUGCACGGCGCACUACUGCCUCCAAUUUGUAUGCUGCAAUGUAGAUUGUAAGCAGUCAAACGGGGUUCGACUCCCCGCGUCCGUC